GAUCCAUUAGCUCAGCGGAGAGAGCGGCCGCCUCCUAAGCGGCAGGUCGGACGUUCAAGUCGUCCAUGGAUCA
rnacentral:tRNA from 16 species